rnacentral:rRNA from 1 species
AGAGUUUGAUCAUGGCUCAGAGUGAACGCUGGCGGCGUGCUUAACACAUGCAAGUCGAACGAGAACGGCUCUAGCUUGCUAGAGUGUCAGCUAAGUGGCGGACGGGUGAGUAAUGUAUAGUUAAUUUGCCCCUUAGAGAGGGAUAACAGUUGGAAACGACUGCUAAUACCUCAUACUCCUUCUAUGUUAAUCAUAGUUGGGAAAUGUUUUUUCGCUAAGGGAUAAGACUAUAUGGUAUCAGGUAGUUGGUGGGGUAAGAGCCUACCAAGCCAAUGACGCCUAGCUGGUCUGAGAGGAUGAUCAGCCACACUGGAACUGAGACACGGUCCAGACUCCUACGGGAGGCAGCAGUGGGGAAUAUUGCACAAUGGAGGAAACUCUGAUGCAGCAACGCCGCGUGGAGGAUGACGCAUUUCGGUGUGUAAACUCCUUUUAUAUGGGAAGAUAA